GGAGUCUAGCAUGUGCGCGAGUCAUUGGGACUUAAUAAACCUAAAGGCGAAAUGAAAGUAAAAGCACGUCUUGCACGUGGUUAGGGAGGAUGGGUUGCACUGCGGUGCGACUCCGCACUCCCGGGGCGUCUCGUUCUCAUUGCGAGUUGAGGCGCACCAAGAGCGUACAUGCUGGGACCCGAAAGAUGGUGAACUAUGCCUGGUCAGGACGAAGUCAGGGGAAACCCUGAUGGAGGUCCGUAGCGAUUCUGACGUGCAAAUCGAUCGUCGGAACUGGGUAUAGGGGCGAAAGACUAAUCGAACCAUCUAGUAGCUGGUUCCCUCCGAAGUUUCCCUCAGGAUAGCUGGCGCUCGUAUGUACGAGUCUCAUCCGGUAAAGCGAAUGAUUAGAGGCAUUGGGGUCGAAACGGCCUCAACCUAUUCUCAAACUUUAAAUGGGUGAGAUCUCCGGCUUGCUUAAAGCAUGAAGCCGCGAGAUCGGAUCAGAGUGCCAAGUGGGCCACUUUUGGUAAGCAGAACUGGCGCUGUGGGAUGAACCAAACGCCGAGUUAAAGCGCCAAAAUCGACGCUUAUGGGAUACCAUGAAAGGCGUUGGUAACUUAAGACAGCAGGACGGUGGCCAUGGAAGUC
rnacentral:rRNA from 1 species